rnacentral:rRNA from 1 species
UACGGGGGGAGCAAGCGUUGUUCGGAUUUACUGGGCGUAAAGGGCGCGUAGGCGGCCAGCACAAGUCAGUUGUGAAAUCUCCGGGCUUAACUCGGAAAGGUCAACUGAUACUGUGCGGCUAGAGUGCAGAAGGGGCAACUGGAAUUCUCGGUGUAGCGGUGAAAUGCGUAGAUAUCUGGAGGAACACCGGUGGCGAAGGCGGCAUCCUGGACCAACACUGACGCUGAGGAGCGAAAGCCAGGGGAGCAAACGGG